rnacentral:rRNA from 1 species
UGGCGAACGGGUGAGUAACACGUGGGUGAUCUGCCCUGCACUUCGGGAUAAGCUUGGGAAACUGGGUCUAAUACCGGAUAGGAGCCAUCUUUAGUGUGGUGGUUGGAAAGUUUUUUCGGUGUAGGAUGAGCUCGCGGCCUAUCAGCUUGUUGGUGGGGUAAUGGCCUACCAAGGCGGCGACGGGUAGCCGGCCUGAGAGGGUGUACGGCCACACUGGGACUGAGAUACGGCCCAG